GGAGUGGUCACCUACACUGUGAUGGAUGAUCUUGAAGUUCGUCCCAUGUCUACCAUUUCAACCAUCACUUUGAUCUCCAAGUUCAAAGUCAAGGACAUUUCUUCCUUACAAGAAAGGGUCGUUGAGUUGCGAAUGGAAGAGGGUAUUAAAUUGCUGAAGGCUUCCCUGCAGUGCAAGAAUGUUUUGACGAGUGUUUUUCUC